rnacentral:lncRNA from 1 species
AAUUCAUUAAAUGCAACUGUUAUGAUUCAUUUAGAAUUCACUCCAAUUCUGAAAUGAUAAAUGACAGUGCAUUUAUGUAUAAAUGACAGUGUAUUCAUCUCCCCAAAGCUGGUCACAAGUGCCCUCACUGCUCUGGAGUAAAACAUGGGCUAGAAACAAGGAAGCAAAGACUUAAAAACAGCAUCAUGUUUAUUCACUGGAGAAAAAGACAAACAGUUCAACUGCCUGCUUCACUUUGCCUUCAAGUUUAUCAAGAUGAGGCCGAGAAUUCUCAUAAACUCCUCAAGGACACCAAAAGGAGUUCCUGUAGACUCACUCAGAGUCCUUUCCCUCCUCUCCCUCAAGCAGUGCCCACCUCUUUUCAGGAAGCAUCUUCUCUUUUCCAUUUGACUUUCAUAAAGAAGCUGGAGUUUUA